rnacentral:tRNA from 1 species
GGGGGCGUAGGUAAAUGGUAUACUAGAGCUCUCCAAAAGCUUUGUCGUAGGUUCGAUUCCUACCGCCCCUG